CGGGUGCACUGAUCCAGCCGGGCCUUUCCCUCUGUGGAACCCCAUGGCCUUCACUGGCUGUGGUGGGGAAACAGGACUUUUACUUUGAAAAAAUUAGAGUGCUCCAGGCAGGCCUAUGCUCGAAUACAUUAGCAUGGAAUAAUAGAAUAGGACGUGUGGUUCUAUUUUGUUGGUUUCUAGGACCGCCGUAAUGAUUAAUAGGGACAGUCGGGGGCAUCAGUAUUCAAUUGUCAGAGGUGAAAUUCUUGGAUCUAUUGAAGACUAACUACUGCGAAAGCAUUUGCCAAGGAUGUUUUCAUUGAUAAGGAACGAAAGUUAGGGGAUCGAAGACGAUCAGAUACCGUCGUAGUCUUAACUAUAAACUAUGCCGACUAGGGAUCGGACGAUGUUAUUCUUUGACGCGUUCGGCACCUUUCGAGAAAUCAAAGUGCUUGGGCUCCAGGGGGAGUAUGGUCGCAAGGCUGAAACUUAAAGAAAUUGACGGAAGGGCACCACCAGGGGUGGAACCUGCGGCUUAAUUUGACUCAACACGGGGAAACUCACCAGGUCCAGACACAGUGAGGAUUGACAGAUUGAGAGCUCUUUCUUGAUUCUGUGGGUGGUGGUGCAUGGCCGUUCUUAGUUGGUGGAGUGAUUUGUCUGCUUAAUUGCGAUAACGAACGAGACCUUUAACCUGCUAAAUAGCCCGUACUGCUUUGGCAGUUCGCCGGCUUCUUAGAGGGACUAUCGG
rnacentral:rRNA from 1 species